rnacentral:rRNA from 1 species
CCUACGGGUGGCUGCAGUGGGGAAUAUUGGGCAAUGGGCGCAAGCCUGACCCAGCAACGCCGCGUGAAGGAAGAAGGCUUUCGGGUUGUAAACUUCUUUUAUCAGGGACGAAGCAAGUGACGGUACCUGAUGAAUAAGCCACGGCUAACUACGUGCCAGCAGCCGCGGUAAGACGUAGGUGGCAAGCGUUAUCCGGAUUUACUGGGUGUAAAGGGCGUGUAGGCGGGAGUGCAAGUCAGAUGUGAAAACUAUGGGCUCAACCCAUAGCCUGCAUUUGAAACUGUACUUCUUGAGUGCUGGAGAGGCAAUCGGAAUUCCGUGUGUAGCGGUGAAAUGCGUAGAUAUACGGAGGAACACCAGUGGCGAAGGCAGCUUACUAAACUGUGACUGACAUUGAUGCUCGAAAGUGUGGGUAUCAAACAGGAUUAGAUACCCUUGUAGUC